GCAGAUGAUCCGCUGUGGCGACCCCUAAAGGGAACAGCCGAAAGAAGAAGAAGAAGAAGAAGAAGAUCAGGUUCACGAAGUCCAACAACUGUUUGCCCAAGAAACUUGCAAAGUGUUGCCCAGUGGUGUUAUGUGGUGUCCGCAGGGACAUGAAGUCUGAGAUACUGGACAAGCUUGCACAGACCAUUUUUUAAAUCAAAGCUUAUCCUGAUGCAUGUGAGAUUGAGUCAGUUGCAUCUGCUCUUAUAUAGAAACAUCCAUGCCUUAAAGAACCUGGCACAGGUUCAGGUUGGGAUGGUUGGGUGAUGAGCAUUAAAUUUAAACUUGGCAACUACCGUGCAAAAUUGCGGGAUGCUCAGAAGUGAAUAUCAACCGGAAAAGAGAAAGAGGUGAGGGUGAAAGGCUGAAGGCACACAUGAAGAAGUCUAAAAGAGCAGAGGUCAACUUUUUACCUGAUCACCCAGAAGGCCAGACAGAUGAAUCUCUUGAAAAUGAAAGAGUUGCCAUUGUUGAAGAAACUCAGAAAAAGAGGAUAGAUGCAAAACUUGAAGAUGUCAGAAGAUGGAAGCAACAUUCUCUCUUUGGCACAAAGAGGUUGUAGAGGUUGAAGCACUUGUUGAAGAGAUCAGGGAGGGGUGGCCUGCGCUUUUUUAUGAGGAGGAGAUCUGCAGGGAGUUCUUUCGAAUCACAAACAUUAAUCUGCUGAGAACAUUUAAAGGAUCUCUAGACAAAUAUACAGAUCUCUUCCACCCUACCCUAAGCUCUAUAGAAGGCACAGGGAGGCAUUUGGGCAGGAAAUGAAGAUACUUUUGGAGAACCUGGAUGAACAGGUGACUGAUAUUGUUGCCAGUCGGGAAAGAACAGUACUUGAGGGGUUGCCCCUUUUUCUGCAGGAAAAUCCAUCCAGCUUACUGAAGAAACGUCUGGAAACAGAUGCUGAGGACCACUACACCAACGAUUACAGAUUGGAAACAAUACAGAUUGGAAUUCUUUCUGUAAUGAAAGAUAACGUGGCUGCUGCGACAUCUCUGCCAGAAGUCACAAACAUUGCAAUUAUCCUGGAAGAGUUAUGUUGAAUUUUAUCUAGCAGAUUUUAUAGUUUUUGUUCUGCAUUUGUUGGGCAUUUGCAAUUGAAUACAUGGCAAUUUAUUUAAUGUUCUUUACUUUUUAUUUUGCUUAAUUGGGCCCAAUAUGAAAAUGACUAAACAGUAGUUUAAAGAACAGUUCAGUCCAAAGGUGAAUUUGGUGUUACUCUGGCCAGUCCACAUUCUUGUUUCCAUUGUCAUUU